CAGCCGCCACGGUAAUACGGAGGGAGCUAGCGUUGUUCGGAAUUACUGGGCGUAAAGCGCGCGUAGGCGGUUACUCAAGUCAGAGGUGAAAGCCCGGGGCUCAACCCCGGAACUGCCUUUGAAACUAGGUGACUAGAAUCUUGGAGAGGUCAGUGGAAUUCCGAGUGUAGAGGUGAAAUUCGUAGAUAUUCGGAAGAACACCAGUGGCGAAGGCGACUGACUGGACAAGUAUUGACGCUGAGGUGCGAAAGCGUGGGGAGCAAACAGGAUUAGAUACCCGAGUAGUCCCUGUCUCUUAUAC
rnacentral:rRNA from 1 species